UAAUUCCGCAUAAGAUUGUAGUACCGCAUGGUACAGCAAUUAAAGGAGUAAUCCGCUAUGAGAUGGACCCGCGUCGCAUUAGCUAGUUGGUGAGGUAACGGCUCACCAAGGCGACGAUGCGUAGCCGACCUGAGAGGGUGAUCGGCCACAUUGGGACUGAGACACGGCCCAGACUCCUACGGGAGGCAGCAGUGGGGAAUAUUGCACAAUGGGGGAAACCCUGAUGCAGCAACGCCGCGUGAGUGAUGACGGUCUUCGGAUUGUAAAGCUCUGUCUUUGGGGACGAUAAUGACGGUACCUAAGGAGGAAGCCACGGCUAACUACGUGCCAGCAGCCGCGGUAAUACGUAGGUGGCAAGCGUUGUCCGGAUUUACUGGGCGUAAAGGGAGCGUAGGUGGAUAUUUAAGUGGGAUGUGAAAUACCCGGGCUUAACCUGGGUGCUGCAUUCCAAACUGGAUAUCUAGAGUGCAGGAGAGGAAAGGAGAAUUCCUAGUGUAGCGGUGAUAUGCGUA
rnacentral:rRNA from 1 species